AUUGAACGCUAGCGGCAUGCCUAACACAUGCAAGUCGAACGAGUGGCGGACGGGUGAGUAAUGUAUGGGAAACUGCCCGAUGGCGGGGGAUAACUACUGGAAACGGUAGCUAAUACCGCAUACCAUCGGAUGUGCCCAGAUGGGAUUAGCUAGUAGGUGGGGUAACGGCUCACCUAGGCGACGAUCCCUAGCUGGUCUGAGAGGAUGACCAGCCACACUGGGACUGAGACACGGCCCAGACUCCUACGGGAGGCAGCAGUGGGGAAUAUUGCACAAUGGGCGCAAGCCUGAUACAGCCAUGCCGCGUGUAUGAAGAAGGCCUUCGGGUUGUAAAGUACUUUCAGCGGGGAGGCGUUACCUGCAGAAUAAGCACCGGCUAACUCCGUGCCAGCAGCCGCGGUAAUUC
rnacentral:rRNA from 1 species